UGAAAAAUGUAUUCUAAAACAGCUAGGACAGUGUCGCAUUUAUCCUACUGUGCUUUUUUGCAAAAUAUGUGCCCCAUGCAUUCAGACGUUGCAUACUUUGUGGCAAUAGGAAAUGCUGCUUCUCAUGUAUUUUGUUGUUGGGUGUUUGCAAGUUGUGCAAUCCAUGCAAUCCAUGCCACAUGCAAGGGCUUUGCAAGAUUUCGAGAAUACCCAUAAUUGUAAAAAAAAAUUUUAGCGAGCUAAACUAAACUUUAAGCGAAUACGAUCGUGUUGUUGUGCUGCGCCUACAACGAAACAUAGAACAUCGCAUGGCGGAAAGUCGACUGCGCUGCAAAUCUUAGUGGGCGGCCACGCAACAUAUAUGUAUGUACAUAUGUAUGUAUGUACAUACAUUCAUGCAUACAUAUGUAUGUAAAAGUUGUAAGACUUCAUCCGUGAGCAGAGCAUAUGCAAGUUUGCGUUCUCGUUCUUAAUCGUUGCGCAAAGAUCAGCCGAUAAUUUGCUGCUGCUGAUGACGCCACCGUCAACUGCAUAAAGCAUAACAAAGCGGAGACGACGUUUAACCGCGCGCCAAACACCAGCUCAGUUUCAGUCCCCAUCCAGUAGUCAAUGUGUUCACUUAUUAAAUAGUAGUUUGAUCCUCCAUUCGGUCGUUAGCCUGAUUGUUGGUCAGCCGAUUCAUAUAUUUAGUUAAAAUAUCAACAAAAGGUGCCAAACAACUUAGUCACUUCGACAGAGUGUGAGACAGUACGUCAGCUAGUUAAUUUCUUACAUGUCAAUUCUGAAACCGGUGAUAAAAAUCUAAUUGAAAAAAAAAAACAAAA